UGUUUAUUUCAUCUCAAAACCUCUAGCUAUUGUAGAAGGUUCUUUAGAGUGUUGACAAAACUGGCCUAGUCCGGAUCGCCACUGAAAUAUCUCACUUAUCCGGCCGGCGGCGGCGGCAACGCAGCCAUGGUGGUGAGGGGAUAUAGUCUCUGUACAGAGCCAAAGUGUAGUGAUUGAGGGAAGGGGUAAUUUUGAUAAUUGAAGCGCUCUCUCAAAAUUUACUAUCUUCCAGUUGCAGCUGUAUCUGUCUCAUACUCGAGGCAAUCUGAACACAUCGGUGGAGCUACCAACACCGGGAUCUUAUCAAAGCCAGAAGGUGAGAUCAUGGAAGCAGUGUUGUACUUGGGAGUAAGAGUGUGGCCUCAAGCCAUUCCUCAGUUUCUGAUACAUUGAUUUGGUAGACGCAGAGAUAGCGUCUCUUUCAUCAUCGGGUCAUGAUGGGAUAUUCUUGGGUGGCAAUUAUGUUGUUGGUGUUGUAGCAUUGGGUUGGUGUGUGGAGGCGCUUGCAACCAAAUUCAAUAAUUUCAAGUAACAAGAAUAUAAUGAAAAAAAAAACAAUUAGAUACUAAGAUUACACUUACGUUUGUGAAGGUUUCAUUGAUUUUCUCAUAAGUAUUACUACAA